CAUUUUUCUGAUACCUGAAUACCAACAAGGCCAGCAAUCCUCUUUCACACUUUUACUCACUCACACUUGAUUAACCUGACUGCAAGGCUUUGUACUGUGGAAGGAAACCCGGAGCUCCAGGAGGAAACCCACGCAGGCACAGGGAGAACAUGCAAACUCCACACAGAAAGGACCCGGACCGCUCCACCUGGGAAUCAGAUGCAGGACCUUCUUGCUGUGAGGCAACAGCGCUACCCACCGAGCCACCGUACCGCCUGCCACCUCUAGUUAGGACGAUGGCAGAUUAUUACUGCUAAAGGAAUAUUACUAAAUUAAUAAUAAUAAAAUAAACGUUAUGUGA